rnacentral:misc_RNA from 1 species
UGGAAGCAUCGUCUCCACACAGCAGCUCAACUCUACUGGUGACCUCAAAAUGCGAUGAGGGGGGGGACUUCGCCUCGAGAUGCGAAAUGGAGAGAAAGCUGGUUUGCUUCGGGGUCCGGGUUUGGGCCCGUAGGAGAGUCCGACGGUUCGGAUAACGUUGGAGCGCAGGACAGACCUGGCGGCUGCGGUGGCGGACAUGGCUAUUGGGAUUGCUUAGGGUAGGGUUGUGGAAGCAAUCGAGAACUUGGCUUGGGUUCAGGGGUUUGACUGUACACAUUGGGC